AGGGUUUGAUUCUGGCUCAGGACGAACGCUGGCGGCGUGCUUAACACAUGCAAGUCGAACGCGCCUGUCCUCCUGGUUUUCCGGGGGGUGGGUGAGUGGCGAACGGGUGAGUAACACGUGAGUAACCUGCCCCCUUCUUCGGGAUAACGGUCUGAAAGGGCUGCUAAUACCGGGUAUUCACUGGUCCUCGCAUGGGGUCUGGUGGAAAGGUUUUUUCUGGUGGGGGAUGGGCUCGCGGCCUAUCAGCUUGUUGGUGGGGUGAUGGCCCACCAAGGCUUUGACGGGUAGCCGGCCUGAGAGGGUGACCGGUCACAUUGGGACUGAGAUACGGCCCAG
rnacentral:rRNA from 1 species